CUUUAGCUUCCUGGGUUCUAAUCAGUCAUCAAUCUAAUCUGUUUAGCAAUAUAUAUAUAUAUAUAUCCUUUUUAUCCUUUUUAACUGUGACAAGAAAGUUUCUACCCUUAAAAUAGUAAUUAUAGCAUGUUUUCAUAUCGUAUUCAAUACUAAAACAAGAAAUAACUGUACUCCUAAUUUCAAUGAAAUGAGACCCUUGAACUACUCUCCACAGCACCAUUUCUUCUCCCCAUCCUGAGAAAAAUUGAAAGCCUUUUUCAAACUACAGGGACUUUGAUGGUAAGGAUAUGUAUUCUCUCACUAUCAUCAUGAGGAGGCUGAAAGGUUUUCCAUCGGAAAACCUUUCUCUUCUCAACUGCUUUAUGCAGUGACUUCACCUGGACUGCCACAGUAGUCUAGCUGUAGUAGUAGUCUACUUACAAAACUAAGUAUUUUCUACUAGAGGCAUGGGGUUUUCUUAUUGCCUUAAAAUAUCUUCAUUAUAUACACAUAUAGUGCUUUAAAUACCUUUAUUUAUAUAAAGGAUCCUACAGCUAUGUCUAAAUCCUUUUCUGAAUAAUCAUCUCCAUUAUUCUAUAACCACAUCAAUUCAAGAGACCGUAAUUACUUGGAAUAUAAGAGCUUAAAAGGCUAGUUUGCAGAUUACAUUUGCUCUUAAGACAAGAUCUUCUGCAGUUUAUGUUGUCUUUGUAUCCUUUUUUCCUCUUUAAAAAAAUAAAACCAUUCAGAAGUGAACAAUGCCUUAAAAAGAUCUUUGCUUGUUUAAUUCCAUACUUCAUAACAAGUAAGAACUGCAUCAGUGAACAUGGAGUUACUAUUACAGAGCACAGAGAACCAUAAAUAGUACACAAUAAAGCUGCACUAAGAAUUUGACAAAAUCAUAUCUGUUGGGCAAAAGCUCUUCCAGCAAUAGUGCAAAUCAAUGUUCCCCCCAAUCCCCAAGACAGGAGUUUGUUGGAAAUCAUGAACUCAUAAAUCCAUUCCUUUCCUCACAGGCAAACCGUUGUUAAAUAAACAAACUGCAGUGGUAACUGGCAGAUUUCCUUUUAUUUCUCUGGAUGGCAGUUGGGUCCUCACACUGGAUUCCCAAUGUUACCACUGUGAAAAGUCUUGAGGAGAAGCAUUCUUGCUUUCAAGCCUGAAACUAUACAUUUUAAUAGUCCAAAGACUUCUUUUUAUCCCUACACUGUUCAUUCUAAGGAUUUUUUAGGAAAGGAAAUUCUCUUAGGCUAAACCCAAAUUUCAUGCAGCUAGUGGCAAGCUGCAUAUUUAAACACUUCCAACUUGCAGUUUUACUGGAAAAAAGUACAGAUUACAAAUCCUCACAGCAUGAGACACAUACAGUAGUUUCACUUACUGCUCAGGCAGCAUUACCACUGGCAGCAGUGAUUUGGUCUACAACAUAAGACAACAGUUCAAAAGGAUAUCACUCAACAAGCAGGAAGCUUAGAAUUCUAUCUUAUCCAUAGGCAACGGCAAACAACAAGCAAAGCUGGAUCAUGACUGCCAAACUAGGCAUUCCACCAGAGCUUUUAAAAAGCAGAGCUUGAGUGAAUGAAGAUGAGAAAUAGCAGUAUUUUAGUGCAUCUAACUACCUAUUUUGCUAUAAAAGGAAGGAGAGGGAAGGGAAUAAACCUCCCUUCUCCCUUAAAAAACACAAAACAGUGAGGAAAAUUUUUUAAAUUACUGACUUGAACUUUAAUUACUGACAUAACUUCUGUUAUGUCCAAAAGAGGCAAGAACUCCUUAUACUAAUUUGGAGUGAUGGACUCCAGCAAUGGCAUCUCAACAGCUCAAGGAAUAGAACACAGAUACCCUAUAGACAUGCCAACUACACAUUCCUUUGAGGUGAUGAGGAAGACUUCCUUCUGUAAUACACACAAAAGGAUUAGAGAGGAAGCAGUGUUGCACAGUCUGGGUAAGAGCAAAGAUGACUUGAUCUUAGGCUAAGAGCUUCUAAAGUACAGAAGGCUUCAGGAUCUAGCAGAGGGGGGAAAAAAAAAACAACCUACUUUUAUAACGUUUAAAGUAUUAGAUCCUUUCUUUAUAGAUUUUUCUCCCUGUACUAGAACUGCAGCUGAACAGGUCAGUCAGUAAUAAAAUAUUUUAAUCACUUUUCCCUCCCUUACAGGAUGAAUAUCUGUAAGAUCAACAGACCCAAGUCUUUACUGCACACAGAUGUAAUGUUAUGCUGAGUACAGGCACUAUUGUAUAGCUUCCUUCAGAACAAGCAUACACCAAAGACUGACCAUAGGUAAGAGUUGGACCAAGCUGAGCACAUUCUGUAACACUGUCACUUUGACAAUUCUUCUGUAUUUAAGAGAACACAAACUAAAUGUCACCAGGAACAUUUAUGUACACAGCUGGUAUUUAAGUUUGAGGGAACUGAGGAGCUCAAACCCCUGCCUAAUUCGAGGUGUUAGCACAAGACUCAGACUAGAGCCAAAUACAUUAAAGAGCUGUCAUCUAGUGUAGGUAGUAGCUACUGAAUCUUUCAACCUCCAACUGCAAGAGAAGACCCACUAAAACAUGAAAGAACACCAGCACAGAUACCACAAGCGAUAAGAGGUUGCUACACAUGCUUCAUGCUUCAGUAUACAUGACUAAGUAGAUAAUAAUUAAACCUAAUGCUUAGUCUUAGAAUAAUUCGUUGACCUAGAAAACCCGCUUUCUAGAUUAAGCACACAUUAAAUGUGUUCAAAACAAAACCAUGCAAAAGGCAUCUUCAGUGUCUUAAUUGCUCAUCCAAACAAGACAGACUUGAAUUACACACAGACUGGAAGCUGGAAGUGUAAUACCCAGCCUCUACUACCUUCCCCAGCUGGAUAUAGAGCCUACAUACAGUCAGGUUACUCUACAACUCAUUCUUGACAUUCUUCCAACUCUCCACUCCUCCCUCUUCCACCUUUUCUUUGGCAUAGAGGGAGCAGUUAAAAGAAGAAUGUUUAAGAGUGGAAUCUACCUGCAAAGCAAAGAAAAAGAACCACAAGUAGAAGAGGAAGAACACCAAAAGCUGAAGAACAGACUAUGGGUGAAAAGUAAGUUAUACCAAGCCCUACUUCAGUCACUCUUCUUGUUUCAAACAAUAUGCAUUCAAGAACUUAGUAAAAGUGAAGAUAUUAUUACAAAAAUAUUAGAUAUGGCUUCCAAAAGAAUUCUGACACUGACAGAAAAUGCAAUUAUGUACUUAAGAACAUGUAUGGUGUGCUCUGAAAAUACCAAGGAGCUCACUAGUUGACUAGUAUUUUAGAACUCAGUAAAAUAAACUUCCCCCUGCAGUCACAGAACUUUCAAUGGUUUUGGACAGACACUGCAACACAUAUUCAGUAUGCCCUGUCUCCAGUACAGUUCUUUUCAUCAAAACGCUACAUGGAUGUAUUUGUAAUUUAAUUCUUUAGCAUAGCAAGUUACUGGAAACAUUGGUGCUUCUGUCAAAAAAACAAAAAACAAACAAAC